GGCCUCCCAGUGCUUACCACAGGCUGUGUUCUUACACUGCCUGCAGAAAGAGGAGGCAGAGUAAACCCACCCCUGUGCACCUCAACCCAGGCCCUUUGCCUGGUCUGUAUUGUGAAUGGGGGGGGGGGG